AAAAACGCUCUUUUUAGAGCGACAAAUUUCAUCUAUAAAGAGUUU
rfam:Phlebotomus papatasi Contig4670.3, whole genome shotgun sequence.